rnacentral:misc_RNA from 1 species
GAGAAAUCUCACCUAUUGUCCAACGCAGUAGCUGGGUACAAAGUCUGGUGAUAGUUGCCAGUGUGACCAAUAUACGUGGUCAACGAGGGAUCCGUGCUUGCUGCGACCGCAGUAGGUGCGUAAGCAGUCGGGUACAUCGUGUUCAGGUUGCUGUACGCUGCUGCAACUGCAGCCGCAGCGCUGGUAUCAGCCGCGAGGUGGACAGGAAGUCUCUCAGCUGGGUCUUGUACCGCCUGUUCACUCUCUGUGACGUCGGUUGGCUGGGAAGUGUCGGCGUCAUCACGGAACCUGUGAGGCUGUCGCUGUCCGAGAAGUAGCUAUUCGUCAAGCCGGCGUCCAGAUAGCUCACUUUGAAGUCCAUUGUUCGUUUACCGAGAAGAUCCCGGCCCUCCUCCUCCCUGAAAAAUUACAAAGAUAGAAGAAUUUUAAUAAAAUUGAAAAUGUUUGAU